UGAGGGAAUAUUUGGGGUCAAUGGGCGCAAACCUGAACCAGCCAAGUAGCGUGCAGGAAGACGGCCCUAUGGGUUGUAAACUGCUUUCAGUCGGGAAUAAUUCGUCGGUCGUGACCGGCGUUGCAGGUACCGUCAUAAGAAGGACCGGCUAAUUCCGUGCCAGCAGCCGCGGUAAUACGGAAGGUCCGGGCGUUAUCCGGAUUUAUUGGGUUUAAAGGGAGCGUAGGUGGACUGUCAAGUCAGUUGUGAAAUCCGCGGGCUCAACCUGCGGCCUGCAGUUGAAACUGGCGGUCUUGAGUCCGUUCAGGGAUGCUGGAAUUCAUGGUGUAGCGGUGAAAUG
rnacentral:rRNA from 1 species